rnacentral:rRNA from 1 species
GACAGAGGGUGCAAACGUUGUUCGGAAUUACUGGGCGUAAAGCGCGUGUAGGCGGCUCUGUAAGUCGGAUGUGAAAUCCCACGGCUCAACCAUGGAAGUGCAUUCGAAACUACAGGGCUAGAGUUCUGGAGAGGAAGGUGGAAUGCUUGGUGUAGAGGUGAAAUGCGUAGAUAUCAAGCGGAACACCGGUGGCGAAGGCGGCCUUCUGGACAGUAACUGACGCUGAGACGCGAAAGCGUGGGGAGCAAACAGG